GGACCAAGGAGUCUAGCAUGUGCGCGAGUCAUUGGGAUUUUUACUAAACCUAAAGGCGCAAUGAAAGUGAAGGUCCGCCUUGCGCGGACCGAGGGAGGAUGGACCGUUCCGAGGAACGGCCUCGCACUCCCGGGGCGUCUCGCUCUCAUCGCGAGAAGAGGCGCACCCAGAGCGUACACGCUGGGACCCGAAAGAUGGUGAACUAUGCCUGGUCAGGACGAAGUCAGGGGAAACCCUGAUGGAGGUCCGUAGCGAUUCUGACGUGCAAAUCGAUCGUCGGAACUGGGUAUAGGGGCGAAAGACUAAUCGAACCAUCUAGUAGCUGGUUCCCUCCGAAGUUUCCCUCAGGAUAGCUGGCGCUCGCUUCUCGCGAGUCUCAUUCGGUAAAGCGAAUGAUUAGAGGCAUUGGGGUCGAAACGGCCUCAACCUAUUCUCAAACUUUAAAUGGGUGAGAUCUCCGGCUUGCUUGAACUGUGAAGCCGCGAGAUAUCGGAUCAGAGUGCCAAGUGGGCCACUUUUGGUAAGCAGAACUGGCGCUGUGGGAUGAACCAAACGCAGAGUUAAAGCGCCUAAAUCGACGCUUAUGGGAUACCAUGAAAGGCGUUGGUAACUUAAGACAGCAGGACGGUGGCCAUGGAAGUCGGA
rnacentral:rRNA from 1 species